AUGAAAUCCGUUUUAUUUUUUCCAAAUUCCGUUUUAUUUUAUUUUCCAAAUUCCGUUUUUAAAAUCAACUUAAAAUCAUCAGAACGAGUUUCAAAUAAGUGCGAACGAAUACAAUUUAAUCAGAUAGAAGACUACAUUUAUUAAAACAUCACAACAUUGCACUGUUUUUAGUGCUUCAAAUAAAAACAUGACAUAAAUAUUAAAGUGCUUAUAAACUCUUUUUUUAUAAACUCAAAUUGUUGUUUGAAGGGGCGUGCCCUGGCUACGGCGUUCAUUGUUUCAUAUGGAUUUUGGACUUCAAGUGGUCAUCGCACGUAUCUUUGCGUUUCCAAUCGAUAGUAUGUUGACAUAUUCUACAAAACACCUGAGUGAUGGAAGUGCGCUUCAACUUCUUCUUCGGCUUCUUGUUAGGAGCGGGACCUAUUGUUUGCGUGGUGGACCGGGGAUUUUUUUUUAACAUUGUUGUGCGAGUGACUGCUAAACAUUCAGUGACGUUAAUGUCACCUGUGUUUCCCUUUUCCCUCGAAACUGAAUUCCGCUGCAUUCCGCUGCAUAUUGUAAAUGUGACGUCUGAUGUGCCUUGUCCCUGUUGCAUGUUAUAUGUGCUGAAGAACAGGAACCUGCUGGAAAUCAGUUAUUUUACUAAGACAGGCCCGUUUUAAAUUCUAACUUUGUUACUUUUAAUACUUUCCUGCUUAAUAAAAAAAAAAAAAUAAU